AUGCAUUGUUGCUCCUGUACCAAAGUGUUAUUGAAUAGAGUAAUGUGGCACUUGAAAACAUGGUAGUUUGCAGUUACUCAGUACUACGCAUACGUACAUGUUCACCCAGUUGUGUAAAUAAUGCCAGAAGUUUUAUUACGUGCAAAGAACUGUUACUGAGACCUCAGCUCUUGAGAAUCAACUGCCAUUCUAACAUCUUCCUACAACACUGAAAUCCCAGUUUUCUGAAGUGAAAUAUGCUAAGCAUUUCUCCAAGUGGUGGUUGCAUGAGGCAAGACAGGAGGAUGAACAAACUGAAGUACAAAAGAACAAAGCAGUGCACCCACAAACACCACCAGGCACCUGGCGAAACUAGAAAUAGAUUAAAUAUUUCUGGAGUACUAGUGCAGCACUCUGCUCAUUAGCAAGGCAGUCUACUUUCCCAUGAGGCAUCUCAAAAUUGCCCUAUGACUACUGUUUGGUUUUAACUCCUCCCUUGGAUAGGUCACAAGGACAAGUGACUUGGGUUGUGCCAAGACCUGAAAUGGGAGACUGGUGUAAAUGGCAGAUAGCCAGCAGCAAGGAGACAUCUGGGAUAAGACAAGGCGCUAAGUGAAGAAGUAAGAGGUAGAAAUGCUACAAGGAGUACAUUUUUCAGAACAUUCUAUGGCUGGACUGUCUAAGGGACUGACAGCAUUUGCCAGGAGGAAGAAUGGAUGGAGAUAGAACUUUGGAGAACUUUUUCAUGUUUUGCUUUUUCAUUCUGAACUUCAAAGGAAAAGGAAAAACAGAGUAUGAACCUGUGCAUUUAUUCCUGGGAAAGGCCACUGGCGAUGGCAAUGUGUAUGGAAGAGUAGCAGUGACUAUUCUGCGAACACGCGCUUGUUUCCUCUUCUGCUUCCUCGCUACUUUGCUUCACAGAAUCACAGAAUGGCCUGGCUUGGAAGGGACCUCAAGGAUCAUGAAUCUCCAUCCCCCCUGCCAGGCAGGGCCACCAGCCUCCCCAUUUACUAAACCAGGUUGCCCAGGGC
ensembl:lncRNA